GAAUAAACUAUCGUAUAUUGGUGGAGCAACGACGCAGAUUGAGGAAUCCAUCCAGGGACACCAGAAUGCAGGUGUGGAGCCACAGCUCCAAGCGUGUACCCAGUUAAUGCCUCAAAGGCUCUUCAAAAAAACAACCUCAUCUUAACUCUAUGUUUCCUGGAGUACAUAACUACUGGUAUUCAUGCCAGCUGAUUGUCCCAUCUGAACUCCGGCUCUGCAGCUCCUCCAGUGUUACCACAGGGUUUCUGGUCGCUUCUGGCCAUAACUUUUUGGACUAGUAGUUUUUUUUUUUGUCCCAUUUUGAGAUGAUAGCCGUUGCAUAUUGUCUUAUAACCUCUAAUUCAUAUUCUCUUCACCCUAUCUGCUGUUCUUUUUGGGCUUCAUGUUGUUUGUCUAAUGUGACAAAACUUAAACAGUUGAAUAUCGCCUUUCUCCUUACAAUGUGAUGUUUGUCAUGUAAAAUGUUUGUCUACAUCAAGUUAUUUAGGUUCAGUUUGUGGGGAUUGAUCUAAUCUAAUACAAUUUGUUGAUAUUUUUGCAUUCAUUAUUAUUUUUAACAAAUUUUUAAAGAAUUUUUACUUUUACUCUGAGUGUUUCUGGCCGUGAGAGUCAGAGUAUCCUAUUUUUACGUUUCCAGUUUCAGAUCCAAACAUUAAAGCUGUAUCAGGUGUGGAGGACAUCUCCAAAAUAUCUUACAGGGGCCACCAAUCUUCAGCUGAGGUGCUCAGAGGAGUUUUCCUUCUUUUUACAUUUAACUUUGUGAGUACCAAAUAAAUGGGGAAUCGUGGAUCUGACAAAGGGUCUGGGAAAACUGAAAAACUGCAUUGCACUUUAUGUUUUUAUUUCUCUUUGUUGCACAUCAGAAGCAU